GGCCCGGUGGCGCAUGGUCCGCGCCUGUGAACCGUAAGUGUGGCUGGUUAUUUAUAUAAGCAGGAUACGCUCGUUCGAUUCGAGCCCGGGCCA